rnacentral:ncRNA from 1 species
UGUCUUCGGGGCAGGGUGAAAUUCCCUACCGGCGGUAAAGCCCGCGAACUAUUUUUAUAGUUGAUUUGGUGAAAUUCCAAAGCCGACAGUAAAGUCUGGAUGAGAGAAGAA